rnacentral:rRNA from 1 species
UACGUAGGGGGCAAGCGUUGUCCGGAAUCAUUGGGCGUAAAGAGCGUGUAGGCGGCCCGGUAAGUCCGCUGUGAAAGUCGAGGGCUCAACCCUCGAAUGCCGGCGGAUACUGUCGGGCUAGAGUCCGGAAGAGGCGAGUGGGAUUCCUGGUGUAGCGGUGAAAUGCGCAGAUAUCAGGAGGAACACCUACGGCGAAGGCAGCUCGCUGGGACGGUACUGACGCUGAGACGCGAAAGCGUGGGGAGCAAACAGG